rnacentral:pre_miRNA from 1 species
AGUAGAGUUGCUUGGUUAUAUGGUAACUUUAUGUUUAACUUUUUGAGGAACUGUCAAAGUGCUUUCCAAAGUGGCUGCCCCAUUUUGGCAUUUUCACAAGUAAU